GUGGGUGUGUAGCCUGCUCAGUGAGAAUAGUUGAGCUGCAGAGCAGGAUAGGAAAGCUGCUGAAGUGUAUUCAGGGUUUAUUUUAUUAUUAUAUGUUUUUAAAUCAUUUAAACAUGGAGACAACUGAUUUAAAUGAAAGAAACAUGGCAGGUGGUUGUGCUGCAGGUUGCAAACCUUUGAAAAAGAGAAAGAAAAAAGUUUGCAGAAGUCUCAAAGUGACAAGAAAAGUUGUGCAAAGAUGAAUGGGCGCCUCGUGAAGGCUCCAUGUUUUAAUCUUUGUGUGAAGUUCACCAGCGUCACCUCCUGGAAAUUCAAAGCCAUGGCUGCACUUCGGCCCCAACGCGAUGCGUUCAUGGACACUCGGGAAUUUCAACAUUCUUUGCACCACAAUUCUCGCUGAUGAAGAGGAGGAUGAAGAGGCUUAAAACUGUGAUGGUUCAGAGUGUUGCUGACACUGGUUUCCAUAUCAAGCUAAUGCAUUCAGUGAAUUUGUAUUCACGCCGAGGGAUGCACGCAUCCACCUUUGUACCUGAAAGGAUUAUGAAGACACAACACUGUGUGGGUUGUUUGUGUGCAGCUGUUGCAGGACUUGUUGGACAGUUUUCGUACAUCCAUUAACAGCAAUGACCAUCAGGUUGGCAGUGGAUGACUCGAUGUGGAUUUGCCUCGACUCGUAAUGUGGAGGAAAAGAAGAAUAAAUUGUUGUUUAAUAAGGAAGUGUGAUUUUAA
rnacentral:lncRNA from 1 species